CUUGCCUGUCAAAAACAUUUAUUAACCUAAUUGGCACAAAGUCUUCUAAAUCAACUGAGAGCGCUCAGCUUUCGUUUCAGCUCCACUGCCAGGCAAGCCUCUGCUCGCCCUGGCUUCCUCCUCCCCUCAGAACACGCGGUUUCCCUUCCCCAGCCUGUGGCUGACACUGCCACUCGCCCCGGGGCAGGAUGAUUUGCUCCUUGUGGAUUAGUCGCCGUCAGCAAGCGGGUCUCACCUGGUCACGUCCUUUAAGAGCGCAUUCACAUGCAGGGCUGCCUGAAACCUCGCUGGAAUGUGCGCAGCGCUGCCCUGGCUUGUCCCGCCUUCUGCUGCACUUUCCUUCCAGGGCUAAUUUUCCCUCAAAAGGAUUUGCUCUGGAAAAAAAGACAACUACCAUACUGAACAUGGAGUUGGGAAGCAGAGCCUCCAACCUGGUCAUCUUCCGGUGUGUGGCCUUGGACAUUUUGACUCAAUGUCAUGAGGAUCCCUGAGCUAGAACCCCCAGCUACACUUUUCUUGGAUUCCUGAGCCACAAAACUGGGUAAGAGAAUAAACACUGUUGAUUUAAAGUGUGAAAUUUAAGAAAUUUUUAUUAAACAGU
rnacentral:lncRNA from 1 species